AACGAACGCUGGCGGCAUGCCUAACACAUGCAAGUCGAACGAGACCUUCGGGUCUAGUGGCGCACGGGUGCGUAACGCGUGGGAACCUGCCCUUAGGUUCGGAAUAACUCCCCGAAAGGGGUGCUAAUACCGGAUAAUGUAUUCGGACCAAAGAUUUAUCGCCUUUGGAUGGGCCCGCGUUGGAUUAGCUGGUUGGUAGGGUAAAAGCAUGGCAAGGCGCCGAUCCAGAGCUGGUCUGAUAGGAUGAUCAGCACCGCUGGGGCUUAGACACGGCCCAGACUGCGACGGAAGGCAGCAGUGGAGAAUAUUGGGCGAGGAACGAAAGCCUGAUCCAGCAGCGCCGGGGAAGUGGGGAAUGCCGUAGGAUUGUGAAGCUCUUUUACCCGGGAUGAUAAUGACAGUACUGGGAGAAGAAGCACCGGCUAACUCCGUG
rnacentral:rRNA from 1 species